AACGAACGCUGGCGGCGCGUCUUAAGCAUGCAAGUCGAACGGCAAGAGAGGAGCUUGCUUCUCUCCUAGAGUGGCGGACUGGUGAGGAACACGUGGGUAAUCUACCCUUAAGAUGGGGAUAGCUGCUAGAAAUAGCAGGUAAUACCGAAUACACUCGGCAUAUCACAAGAGGUGUUGAGGAAAGGAAGCUACGGCUUCGCUUGAGGAUGAGCUUGCGUCCCAUUAGCUAGUUGGUGAGGUAAAGGCCCACCAAGGCGACGAUGGGUAUCCGGCCUGGGAGGGUGAACGGACACAUUGGGACUGAGAUACGGCCCAAACUCCUACGGGAGGCAGCAGCUAAGAAUAUUCCGCAAUGGACGGAAGUCUGACGGAGCGACGCCGCGUGGAUGAAGAAGGCUGAAAAGUUGUAAAAUCCUUUUGUUGAUGAAGAAUAAGGGUGAGAGGGAAUGCUCAUCUGAUGACGGUAAUCGACGAAUAAGCCCCGGCUAAUUACGUGCCAGCAGCCGCGGUAACACGUAAGGGGCGAGCGUUGUUCGGAAUUAUUGGGCGUAAAGGGCAUGUAGGCGGCUAUGUAAGCCUGAUGUGAAAUCCUGGGGCUUAACCCUAGAAUAGCAUUGGGUACUGUAUAGCUUGAAUUACGGAAGGGAAACUGGAAUUCCAAGUGUAGGGGUGGAAUCUGUAGAUAUUUGGAAGAACACCGGUGGCGAAGGCGGGUUUCUGGCCGAUAAUUGACGCUGAGAUGCGAAAGUGUGGGGAUCGAACAGG
rnacentral:rRNA from 1 species